GUCCAGCCGAUGAGUCGCAAACAGGACGAAAUGCGCAUCCUGCAU
rnacentral:hammerhead_ribozyme from 1 species